rnacentral:tRNA from 1 species
GCCCGCAUGGCGGAAUUGGUAGACGCAGCAGUCUUGAAAACUGAAGUCCUCUCCGGGGCGUGCCGGUUCGAAUCCGGCUGCGGGCACCA